rnacentral:rRNA from 1 species
UGGACUCGGGUAGUGGCGCACGGGUGCGUACGCGUGGGAACCUGCCUUUAGGUUCGGAAUAACUCAGAGAAAUUUGAGCUAAUACCGGAUAAUGUCUUCGGACCAAAGAUUUAUCGCCUUUAGAUGGGCCCGCGUUAGAUUAGAUAGUUGGUGGGGUAAUGGCCUACCAAGUCGACGAUCUAUAGCUGGUCUGAGAGGAUGAUCAGCCACACUGGGACUGAGACACGGCCCAGACUCCUACGGGAGGCAGCAGUGGGGAAUAUUGGACAAUGGGCGAAAGCCUGAUCCAGCAAUGCCGCGUGAGUGAUGAAGGCCUUAGGGUUGUAAAGCUCUUUUACUAGGGAUGAUAAUGACAGUACCUAGAGAAUAAGCUCCGGCUAACUCCGUGCCAGCAGCCGCGGUAAUACGGAGGGAGCUAGCGUUGUUCGGAAUUACUGGGCGUAAAGCGCGCGUAGGCGGCUUAUCAAGUCAGGGGUGAAACCCCGGAGCUCAACUCCGGAACUGCCCUUGAAACUGGUUGGCUAGAAUAUUGGAGAGGUAAGUGGAAUUCCGAGUGUGGAGGUGAAAUUCGUAGAUAUUCGGAAGAACACCAGUGGCGGAGGCGACUUACUGGACAAUUAUUGACGCUGAGGUGCGAAAGCGUGGGGAGC